GGAAACUUGAAUUCCAGUCUUGCUGAAGAACCUUGAUAGGACCUGCUGUUCAGCGAGUCAGAGACAGUGUUUCUGAACUGCAGACAGUUCAGCUUUAAAGGUGAUUUGAGAACUGAAAGGGGUGGUCACUAGAGAAGCAGUUUUGCUUGGUCACUGGUUGAGUGCGUGAUCUUCCUAACAUGCAAGUGGAAACAGGACAAAGCUGCUUUUCACAGCAUGAAGAAGCUGCAGGCCUUCCCUGCUGUUGUCUGAAUCUGCAGCAUUCUCAGUAAGAUUUGUUUUUUUCUGCAGAAGGAAUAAUAAGGUUCUGUCGAUUAUUUUGCUUCUCUAUCUUACCAGUAAUGCUCCAGCUCUGUAUUUGUGAAAAUGAUUUGGGGAAUCACCUGUUCAAGUGGUACAAAUGUAUCCAGCAGUUUUUCAACAUGAAAUUGCCAGUGUUCCCGAGUCCUGUCGGUAACUGCUGCAACAGGCAAUGAAAUGUUUGUAAAUCUAAUUUCUCUCACUUCCUCUCCCAGUAAGAUAAAAAUCAAUUACUUCCAUUAUUGCUGAAAAGAUAGAAUCCUGCAAGGUGGUGUUAGUUUAAAAAAUAAAUUCCUGAAGAUCUAGCACUUUCUGCUAGCUUUAUUACCCAGGUGUCACUUCCAUUUAAUCAUAGACUUAGUAUUGCAGAACUGUCCAAAAUGUUGCAAUUAUCAGAUAUAGGAAGUUUCAAAAGUGAGUCCUGCUAACAUCAUGGUAAGUUUGUGUCUGUUCGCUUGAACCAGUCCAAGUGCUUAUGGAAACAUUUCAAUGGCAGCAUCUUUGCGAUUUUGUCAGCAGCUGCCAGCCCCAGGCAAAGUUUAAUUAGCAUGUUUUUCAAAUUGUUAGCUAAAUUAGUCAAGUAUUAAAUAGUCUUCCCCAAAUUAUAUCUGCAAAUUUAAACCUUGCAUCUGUCUCAAUGUGUGGACACACUGCUAUCCUGGUAAUGCUAUUUACUGAAUUGUUUAUCUUCUAGCAAAUUCAUGGUACGUAAUCUGAAUGAUAUCUGGGUUCCCUUUAUAAAUUCAUUUGUAAAGCACCUGCUUUGGUACUGGCAUUUGUAAUAUUACGGUUUUCAAGUCAACAGCAGUAGUCACAGCACUUUUCCUGAGAGAGAACUUGAUCUCAUAUGUAUUUCAUAAGUAUAAAUAAUAUAUUUUCAUUAUCCUGAAUUUAUGCAGCUGGAGUAAAGAUGCCUGCUCUGGGCCUCUAAGAACUGUAAUCCUGAUUAGAACCUAAUGCUGAGUCAAGCCAUGAAAAAGUAAUUUUUGUCCUCAUCUUUGGAGUUCUUUUGGAUUUAAUAUUUCACUCUUCUUGCAUAAAAAUAAACCUGUAGGAACUUAACAUUGUGAAAUAGUAAUUGUAUGUUAUGUAACAGUGUUGCUAAUAAACAUCACCUGAGAGUUUUUUUCUUGGCUAAGGAGCCUAUAUGUAGUUUCUUUACACUUUUACUCACACCAGGCACAAGCAGAGCAAGCUUGUAACUGCUCAAUCCCAACUCACCUAUGACCCACUGCUGCAGAGCAGAAUGAGUUAAACAACAUGAACAGUACACUUGAAGUGCUGAAGAUUGUAUAGCAAGAGCUGUGAGAAAGAACUGCAGAAACUGAGAAAGAUAACAUAAAGAAGGAACUGUGUCCCCCUCCCAAAGAACAGAACAGCCUGCUGUGGUAGCUCAGUUGGAGGAAGUGUGGAUCCUGUUUUACCUUGGGUGCAAGAUAAGGGUGCCUGGUGGCAGGUAAUUCCAGGUCUUCUGUGUUGCUGCUGCGGGAUCUAAAUGGUGCAGUGAGUCCUUCCUCUCGCUAGAUGGCACCGCGGCCCUCCGAACAGAGUCCUCCACGGGCCGCGUUUUUGGGCGAAGUUUCCAAAGAGUUCCGUUCGUUCUGUUUAUGCAGAUUAAUUGUGCUUUGUUUUGGUCCUGUAGAUGGGCAGGUUAAACAGAUUCCUGUUGAUUCAGUGUUAAUUCCUGAGCUUAUCUGGACUGCUCAUUUUUGCUCCAGGCUUGCUGUUUUUUGCUAUCCACACACGGAACAAUAUUGCAGAGAUUGUGCAAACCCAGUUCUAAGAUGGCAUGGUGGAAAGGGUGGUUCAAGAACUGAAAUAAAAGUAAUGUAGUCUCAAGUCCACGUGGUUUUGGUUGUUUUCAAAUCUGUAAGAUAUAUGGACUCUGGAGAACUGGAAUUAUGUCUGAGGAAUGACCUGAAAGAAGCAAUUGUCUUUGUGGCAGUUGGAGAGAGACUGGCAGAAAGGAAAAGAGGAACAGAAUGUGAAGCCCAAACACUGCACUGGAGGAAGGGCUGAGCUCUGGGGAAAACACAGACCAACCAAAAUCUUCACUGAGACCACCUGCAAAGACCUUUUGGAAGUCCUCCAAAUCAGAGUGGGUCUCAGAGGCGUGAUUUGUUGUCUGAUCCAAUGAAAAAACAAACAAAAAAUGUUUGUUGAAGACCUGAGCUCAGUUUGGAGUCAUCUGCAAGUGCACAUUCCUUUAAAGCAAAAUUCCAAAGGCACACAUAGAAUUGGUUCUUCUUUUAAAAUGUAUUUUUUUAAACAAAUAUUUGUAGCAUUUCCCAUACCAUAUUUUGACCCACAUACAAACUCACACAUGAGACCCUCCAAAAACACCCCAGCUCACGUUCUUGUGCAGGUUCAAUUUCCUUCUAUCUGUGUACAUACUUGGCUCCUUAUCCAGGAGAAUGAGGGGCACAGAGGUUAAAUAAAAGUCAGGAAUCAUUGCUGAAGGGAAAGAAUGGGUAUUCAGUGGAGAGUUAAAAAUGGCAAAUGAAUUCAUGGUGUGAAGAAAAAAUGAAAUUGUGUAUUGCUUCUGACAUAGGGUAGUUUGAGGGGAUCACUGUCUGAAUUCCUUGAGCUCUCAAAAGGAUUCCUGCUUGUCCAAACUGCUCUCUGCAGGGAGAGGACAUUCUGAUGUCAGCAAGUCCCUUUAUAAGUCCUGUAUUUCAGCCACCUGGGGUACACACAUUGUGUUAGUGGCUUGACACUCAAACUCUAGGCUUGUUUCUUAAAAUGCCUACUGCAGUCAGUUGCUGAGGGUUGCAGCCACUAAAAAGCUAAAUAAUGGUAUUUGAGCCUUUACACUAAAAUCCAAUCAAAUAAUGGGAUAGUUGUAAAUUAAUUAAAAUUAAUGUGUUGUGAGCUGGUUUUUGGCUGACUUUAUUUAUUUAAAUUCUGAGCUUUUAGUCAAAAUGGCUUUUAUUUUCAAAUUUCUGAGCUGUGAGUGCUGAAAACAUCUAAUGAAAUUUAUUUUGAGGAUUAAGGAUUCAAGGGAUUAGAAGGAUAUGAUAAACUCCAAGUAUUCUAAUAGCAGACUGAAAAUAUUAUUUGAUGCAUUAUAAACAGAGGAGCUCAAAAUAAAACAAAGGGAAUAAUCAGAUACUCAAAUACACAUGGAGAGCAGAACCUCAGGUGCUAUGGCUCCAGCUAUUGGUCCAUUGUGGCAGGAUGCCCCUUAAAGUGAUGCCUAUUAGCAGGAGGGGGAUUUGAAGAGAAAGGAGCAGCAAGGCUGUUUUCAAGUGGAGAUGAGAAUUAAAGAUGUUUGGGUUGGUUGGAUUUUUCUGAAGCUGUAUGGAUGCUGAAGGAAUGGAUAGGAGCUGCUGCAGUAAUUUGGUAGAGUAUUAACAUCUGUUCAAUUUAAGGUUGUUUUAUUCAAUUUUUGUGAGCAGUAAGGACCUAAUUUAGAAUGAAUAUUCUGUUUCUUACAGAAAGUUGCUCCUAUCUUUCUUUACUUAGCAUGAAAGGGGUGGAGGGCUUCCUAGAAAGGUAGAAACAUAGAAGAAGAAUAGAAAAAAUGCUAGGCAGCCUUGUGUGUGUCUCAAACUUCUUCCUGAUAAAGGACUUCUUUGAGUUGUCCAGCAUACACCACCCAGACAACACCUCCCUGUGCCUUUGGGGGCCCCCUGGCACAGUGAGGACACUGAUCGAAUCAGAGCUUCUUUUAAAGAUGGAGGCAAGAGAAUAUUGCCCACAGUCUUCUUCCCACCUGCCCUCCAUACUCUCCCUCUCAAGCACUGCUCUUCCCAUUCCAGCUGCUCUGCAGAUCUGGUGCAAAACCAUGCAAUGGCUCUGUCCCCUCUCUGAUGCAACAGCAAUAAAAAAUUGUACAGUGCCAAUGUAGAGAAAGGGUGAGAACUUUCUGAUUGGGACUUCUCCUAAGAGCUACAGCUAGGGGGUGCAAAGACGACAGGGGAGAGAACCUUAUGCCUAAGACUACAUCAACUUUUGACAACUUGAACUCUAUGAGAAACUACAACUUCUCGGGGAGCAUACUGCUGGGAACCCUAAACCUAAGCCUAAGACUGGGGGGCUUCACUAACACCUAUGGUGGGGGAUGUUGCAGUGCCCGGGCUGAGCACUGGUCAUGCAUCCCCAGCAGAGAUCUACAAAUGGAGAGCUGGGCUGGAGAGGCAGCAUCCAGGGGAGAAGUAGAGUCUCCUCCUGUUCCAAAUGCCCCAUUUCCUUGGUUUCUUCUUUCUGGGCCUCUGCAGAGGGCGCACGCACAGCCGCAUCAGGGCACGGUUGUCCCUCAGCAGCUGGAGCAGUUCCUUGCAGCAGCCGUGUCGCUGGCAGCCCGUCCCUGCAGAGGCCGAGGGGCUCUGGUGCUUUUCCUGGAGGGCAUAACACAGGGAGCCUGAUGCGAGGGGGCAGAGGGGCCUCGAGGGGUGAGGCCUCUCGGGUUGGCUUUGGCCCCUGCGGGAGACACUCGCGCCCGGCUGGGCUGCCCCGGGCGGAGGCUCUGCCGGGUGUCUCUGGGGCUCAGCCGGCCCGAUUCGUGCUCAGGGGCUGAGCUCCUCCCGCUGCCUCUGGGCCUUGGGCAAAGGGCUGCCCAAGAGGCUCAGGAUCCCGUGGACCUGCCCAACUUUGCUCCCCUGCGGGGGCUCUCAGGUCUCGCUCGACACCGGCUUGGCUCAAGGCCUAGGACAGCUCCCGGCUCCACCCCCGGCACCAUCCCACCUUCCUGACUUCCCUCCCUCCCUGACCUCUCGCCAGCAGCUGCAGAGCCUUUUUCGCAGCCACCAGCUGAGCGAGACGCCCGUCACUAGCAGGUCCAGGGCUACGCAGCUCAAAGAAAGCAGCUCUACGUGCUCCAAGGGGGUCGUCGCUGGGCACACGUCCCACUGCUCCGGGACCUCGGCAAGCAGAGCCGAGGUACCCGCGUCCCCGGCAGGACGGCUGGAAGUGUCCAGGGGACGGUCCAAGAUCACCAGCAGCGCAAGCGGCAGAAGCCAGGGGAAGCCCUGGCCGGCCAUGGUGCUGCUGCGCGACACACACAGGCUCUGGCCUCGCUCUGUGCGCGCCCGCUUCUGCCCGGGCUCUGGGCACGGGCUGGCAGCAGAUGCCAGCCACCGCACUGUGCCCAGGGGCUGCGAUGUCACAGAAGCACGGCAUCCGUCGCCUUGCAAGAGCCCUGUUGGGACCAUGGCGUCCAACCUGUGACGCACCCCCACUACGGCAACUAGAGCGAAGCACUGAGUGCCACGCCCAGGCUUUCCUUUCCUGGCCUACUCCCGCUGUGGGGAUUCCACCCCGGCCCUGGGCAACUCAUUCAAAUAUGGAAUCCCCCUUUUUGGGGAAAAGGUUCUUCCUAAUGUCCAACCCAAAUGUCCCCUGGCACAGCUUAAGCCUCUUCUUGCUGUCUGCUUUCUCUUGUCCUUGCCUACCUCUGAGAAGGCUGGCAUUGCCUCGUCUGUAAGUUGCCUGUAGUCAGGAGUAGAAGCUGUGGCAAGGAGUGCUGCUCAACUUUUGGGCCAUUGCAAGGGGCUGCUUUCCUUAUUUUUUGUAUAUUUGCAUUAAAGAAGAAAGUAUCCCUUCAGGAAUGAACUACUCCAGACAAUCAUUGCAAGGCAAUGAAUCACCAUCACUAGCAGUCCAUGAUCUAUAAUCAGUCUGGUAUGUAGCAGAAGCCUUUUAUUUUUACCUUGCAUUUAGUAAUAGAUGCAGUCUAACAUUUAUCUUACCAUUUAAAAAGGAUAGAAGAAAGCAGAUAGCUUGCCAAGGACACAGAUUCUCCUUGUUCUUAUGUUUGUGAAGGAGAGGUAUCUUCUUUGACACCUACUCCCUACAUGGGUGUUACUGUUUUAUGUACCAACGCUUAGGUGCUCAAUGGAUGGGAUGAGAGGGCACUGAAGAAGAAGAUUUGCGUGUGGCCAGGGCAGGGACCCAUGCCUGUGAGUGUCAGCACGGUCCAGGACAGAGGAAGUGAUGUGCCCAUCAGGAGCAAUGCUGUGGGGUUUCAUUGUAGCACAGCCACGGGCUGUGGCUGUGGUUGGCCCCAAGUAGAUGUAAGGAAAAUAUAUCGUAGAGCUGCUCCAAAAAAUACCAUGACUGCCUGGAUGUUACUCAUUGUUAGUCUGGAUGCCAGAUUGUGAUGUGGCUUUGUGAUGUGGCAUGCAGAUGGAGUUAGCCCAAAUGAAAGACCACCUUCAGAGAGAAAAACACAGAAAUUUUUUUUUGGCGUUUGGUAGAAAUUUGCAUUACUGACAUCCUCUGAUGAAACUUGUGGUCUGACUAAAAAGGAGAGGGAAAAGUACGUAAU